GGAGUGUGUGUGGUUGUGAUCUCUGCUCAAGCCUUUAUAAUCUGUAAAAGGAGAAACAGUGACCACUGCAGUGGCAAAACAUGUCAGUCUGUCAUCCACAGUUUCCCAGAGAUGCUGUAAGACCAGGUACGUUACC